GAUGAACGCUGGCGGCGUGCCUAAUACAUGCAAGUCGAGCGAACGGACGAGAAGCUUGCUUCUCUGAUGUUAGCGGCGGACGGGUGAGUAACACGUGGAUAACCUACCUAUAAGACUGGGAUAACUUCGGGAAACCGGAGCUAAUACCGGAUAAUAUUUUGAACCGCAUGGUUCAAAAGUGAAAGACGGUCUUGCUGUCACUUAUAGAUGGAUCCGCGCUGCAUUAGCUAGUUGGUAAGGUAACGGCUUACCAAGGCAACGAUGCAUAGCCGACCUGAGAGCGUGAUCGGCCAGACUGGAACUGAGACACGGUCCAGACUCCUACGGGAGGCAGCAGUAGGGAAUCUUCCGCGAUGGGCGAAAGCCUGACGGAGCAACGCCGCGUGAGUGAUGAAGGACUUCGGAUCGUAAAGCUCUGUUAGUAGGGAAGAACAUAUGCGUAAGUAACUGUGAACAUCUUGACGGUACCUAAUCAGAAAGCCACGGCUAACUACGUG
rnacentral:rRNA from 1 species